UACGUAGGUGGCAAGCGUUAUCCGGAUUUAUUGGGCGUAAAGGGAACGCAGGCGGUCUUUUAAGUCUGAUGUGAAAGCCUUCGGCUUAACCGGAGUAGUGCAUUGGAAAUUGGGAGACUUGAGUGCAGAAGAGGAGAGUGGAACUCCAUGUGUAGCGGUGAAAUGCGUAGAUAUAUGGAAGAACACCAGUGGCGAAAGCGGCUCUCUGGUCUGUGACUGACGCUGAGGUUCGAAAGCGUGGGUAGCAAACAGG
rnacentral:rRNA from 1 species